rnacentral:tRNA from 1 species
UGGGCUGUAGCUCAGUGGCAGAGCACUUGCCUCGCAUGUGUGAGGCACUGGGUUUGAUCCUCAGCACCACAU